ACGUCUCAAAAGGUCAAUACUCGUAUAAGUAUUUUGUAAAAACUACAGGCUUCUACAAUUAUUUAACAUUGAUUAGGUACAAUAAUGUUAUACCAUGAAAUCGUUACGCCGUAAAUAUUUGACCGUUUGUUCCUACGAUUUUAUCUCAAUAAUUAUGAAAAUCUGCAUAGAAAAUCAAAAAAAUGACUUUCUCAAGUACCAACUAGGCAACUUUCGGAAUUUUUGGUC